GACGAACGCUGGCGGCGUGCUUAACACAUGCAAGUCGAACGGAAAGGCCCUGCUUUUGUGGGGUGCUCGAGUGGCGAACGGGUGAGUAACACGUGAGUAACCUGCCCUUGACUUUGGGAUAACUUCAGGAAACUGGGGCUAAUACCGGGUAUGAGCUCCUGCUGCAUGGUGGGGGUUGGAAAGUGUCGGCGGUUGGGGAUGGACUCGCGGCUUAUCAGCUUGUUGGUAAGGUAGUGGCUUACCAAGGCUUUGAUGGGUAGCCGAACUGAGAGAGUGAUAGGCCACCCGGGAACGGGAACGCGGUCAAGACGCCUAAGGGAGGCAGCAGUAGGGAAUCUUACGCAAUGGGCGGAAGCAUGACGGAGCAACGCCGAGUGAAUGAUGAAGGUGUUCGGAUCGUAAAACUCUGUUAUGAGGGAAGAACAAAUGUGGAAGGAACUAUGCACGGAGUGACGGUACCUAAUCAGAAAGCCACGGCUAACUACGUG
rnacentral:rRNA from 1 species